rnacentral:rRNA from 1 species
AGCUUGUAUGAAUGGUUUAAUGAAAAAAUAACUGUCUUAAUUUAAUUUAAUAAAAAUUUUAUUUUUAAGUUAAAAAGCUUAAUUAUUUUUAAAAGACGAGAAGACCCUAUAGAGUUUAAUAUAUAAAUUAUUAUUUUAAAUAAAGUAUUUAAUUUAUAUUAAUAAAUUAUGUAUUUAAUUGGGGUGAUUAAAAAAUCAAAGAAACUUUUUUAUUAUUAAAACAUUUAUUUAUGAUUGUAUGAUCCAUUAUUUAUGAUUAAUAGAUUAAAUUACCUUAGGGAUAACAGCGUAAUUUUUUUGAAGAGUUCUUAUCGAUAAAAAAGUUUGCGACCUCGAUGUUGGAUUAAAGUUAAUUUUUGGUGCAGUAAUUGAAAUAUUAGGUCUGUUCGACCUUUAAAACUUUACAUGAUCUGAGUUUAAACCGGUGUGAACCAGGUUGGUUUCUAUCUUUAAAUAAAGAGAAUAUUUUAGUACGAAAGGACCAGGUAUUUUUAAUAAUUAAUUUUAUUAGAAUAAAAUUGUUACUUUGGCAGAUUAGUGCAUUAAAUUUAGAAUUUAAUUAUGUAAUUAUUUACAAGUAAUACNUGAUUAUAUGGGAUUAUAUUUUAUUAUUAAUUAGUUCUUUGAUUUUAAUUAUUUGUGUU